UGGGGAAUAUUGCACAAUGGGCGAAAGCCUGAUGCAGCAACGCCGCGUGAGUGAUGAAGGCCUUCGGGUUGUAAAGCUCUGUCUUUUGGGACGAUAAUGACGGUACCAAAGGAGGAAGCCACGGCUAACUACGUGCCAGCAGCCGCGGUAAUACGUAGGUGGCAAGCGUUGUCCGGAAUUACUGGGCGUAAAGAAUGCGUAGGUGGAUAUGCAAGUCAGAUGUGAAAUACCCGGGCUCAACUUGGGUGCUGCAUUUGAAACUAUAUAUCUAGAGUGCAGGAGAGGAAAGCGGGAUUCCUAGUGUAGCGGUGAAAUGCGUAGAGAUUAGGAAGAACACCAGUGGCGAAGGCGGCUUUCUGGACUGUAACUGACACUGAGGCAUGAAAGCGUGGGGGGCAAACA
rnacentral:rRNA from 1 species